rnacentral:rRNA from 1 species
UACGUAGGGUGCAAGCGUUGUCCGGAAUUAUUGGGCGUAAAGAGCUCGUAGGCGGUCUGUCGCGUCGAAUGUGAAAACCCGGGGCUCAACCCCGGGCCUGCAUUCGAUACGGGCAGACUAGAGUUCGGUAGGGGAGACUGGAAUUCCUGGUGUAGCGGUGAAAUGCGCAGAUAUCAGGAGGAACACCGGUGGCGAAGGCGGGUCUCUGGACAACAACUGACGCUGAGGCGCGAAAGCUAGGGGAGCAAACAGG